AUGAUUCACAAUCCAUCUCAUUGCUCAUA
rnacentral:tRNA from 1 species